rnacentral:lncRNA from 1 species
UAUACUUGUUUAUUGUAUUCAUUUUUAAACAGCCAUAUUAUUUCCAGCAAAAGUUAUGGAACGUUUACAGAUACAUAGUAAUAUUUAUAAAAAAAAACAAAUUACUUUCUGCUUGCUUCCUAUAUUUUUAAAGCUUUCUCCCAGACUCAUGUGAGUAUAAGGUGGUUAAUUUUUCCGAAAUAAAUGGAAAGGAUGGCGCAUUUAAUGCAGUGAUUUGAGCCAAUAUAACAACACAAGAUGCUCAAAAUUGUCAAAAAGAAUAUGAAAAUGUUAAUAAAGUAAAUUUUAGAGUUCUAAGAACUUAUCCAAAUGAUUCUAUGAAGCUUGUUUUCAAGAAAGACUAUCGAUGCCAUCGCAAUACUCAGGCUAAUUUGCCUUCAUCAAAGACAAAAAA